rnacentral:rRNA from 1 species
UCCUCCCUCUGGCGGCGUGCUUAACACAUGCAAGUCGAACGAAGAGCGAUGGAAGCUUGCUUCUAUCAAUCUUAGUGGCGAACGGGUGGGUAACGCGUAAUCAACCUGCCCUUCAGAGGGGGACAACAGUUGGAAACGACUGCUAAUACCGCAUACGAUCUAAUCUCGGCAUCGAGGAUAGAUGAAAGGUGGCCUCUACAUGUAAGCUAUCACUGAAGGAGGGGAUUGCGUCUGAUUAGCUAGUUGGAGGGGUAACGGCCCACCAAGGCGAUGAUCAGUAGCCGGUCUGAGAGGAUGAACGGCCACAUUGGGACUGAGACACGGCCCAGACUCCUACGGGAGGCAGCAGUGGGGAAUCUUCCGCAAUGGACGAAAGUCUGACGGAGCAACGCCGCGUGAGCGAUGACGGCCUUCGGGUUGUAAAGCUCUGUUAAUCGGGACGAAAGGCCUUCUUGCGAAUAGUGAGAAGGAUUGACGGUACCGGAAUAGAAAGCCACGGCUAACUACGUG